UGAAUAUAGAUUCUCUAUUUUAUAGUUGCUGCAACUAAAAGAAAUCCUUCUUUCAGCUUUGCCGCCCAAAAUAAAUGUCGCCAACCUACCAAACCACACGCGUACAGCCUACACCUUCUUUUUUUCAUCCUUCCCGAUUUCUCGGAACUCGACACAACCACAAUAUCACCUCUCGACACCCUCACUUCACCUUUAUGUAACCUGCGACGAGAAAGACGAAACCGGAGCUCUCACCGGAGUUUUUACGUCGGACACUCAAACUCAGUUUCCAUAACUCCCCUCGACACCACCCUCUCACCAUCCCUGUUCCGAUAACAUAUCGCCGGAAACCCAAGCAAUUGUCGGAGCUCCCCCGGAGUCGAAGUGAUCGCCAGAGUAAUCAAAACAUCCGUCGGAGUUCUGCACACUCGCUGGAGAACCCCGACGUGGCCGGAAGUCGAGGACUUCACCAGAGAACCCUGAAGUGACCGGAGACAAUCGGAGCUUACGCCGUAACCACGUCGGAGGUUCACGAUGGAAAACACGUCGUAUGUUCGGAUAAUCGUUUCGUUCGUUCUUUUGGAAUUUUUCUCCAUCUUUACUCGUGCAUUAUUUCAAGAAAUUCUCAUACGCAACCAAUGUGGAUGUUGACGAUGCAUGGAAUCUAGUAGGAUGCUUAGAUACACACUUAGAAAGAAUUGUAUUUGUAUUGUAUCAUUUUAUUAUUCAUGUUGUUGUACUUUGUUUCAAAACAUUGUACUUGAUUCUUUAGAAAUGAAAUGAAACGAUUAUUUAAAUACUUGUC
rnacentral:lncRNA from 1 species